rnacentral:rRNA from 1 species
UACGGAAGGCAGCAGGGGGAAUAUUGGACAAUGGGCGCAAGCCUGAUCCAGCCAUACCGCGUGGGUGAAGAAGGCCUUCGGGUUGUAAAGCCCUUUUUGUUGGGAAAGAAAUCCAGCUGGCUAAUACCCGGUUGGGAUGACGGUACCCAAAGAAUAAGCACCGGCUAACUUCGUGCCAGCAGCCGCGGUAAUACGAAGGGUGCAAGCGUUACUCGGAAUUACUGGGCGUAAAGCGUGCGUAGGUGGUCGUUUAAGUCCGUUGUGAAAGCCCUGGGCUCAACCUGGGAACUGCAGUGGAUACUGGACGACUAGAGUGUGGUAGAGGGGUAGCGGAAUUCCUGGUGUAGCAGUGAAAUGCGUAGAGAUCAGGAGGAACAUCCAUGGCGAAGGCAGCUACCUGGACCAACACUGACACUGAGGCACGAAAGCGUGGGGAGCAAACAGGGAUUAGAUACC